rnacentral:rRNA from 1 species
GACGAACGCUGGCGGCGUGCUUAACACAUGCAAGUCGAACGGAAAGGCCUGCUUUCCCUUGUGGAUUGCGGGUACUCGAGUGGCGAACGGGUGAGUAACACGUGAGUGAUCUGCCCCUAACUUGGGUAUAAGCCUGGGAAACUGGGUCUAAUUCCCGAUAGGACUGCAGGGUGGUGCCUGUGGUGGAAAACGAUUUUCUAGUGGUUGGGGAUGAGCUCGCGGCCUAUCAGCUUGUUGGUGGGGUAAUGGCCUACCAAGGCGGCGACGGGUAGCCGGCCUGAGAGGGUGGACGGCCACAUUGGGACUGAGAUACGGCCCAGACUCCUACGGGAGGCAGCAGUGGGGAAUAUUGCACAAUGGGCGGAAGCCUGAUGCAGCGACGCCGCGUGGGGGAUGACGGGCUUCGGGUUGUAAACUCCUUUCGACCGCGAGGAAGCCACCUGGUUGGAAGGGUGGUGACGGUAGUGGUAGAAGAAGCACCGGCUAACUACGUG